UGUCAUUCUUGACGUAACAGUAAUUAAGCGGCUUUUGUUUUUAAGGAUGGACACAAGUCAAUCAGCAUUGUCGACAAACUGCUUACCGCAUGCAGCAGAUCUGCGCGUAUGAUGUGACUUUUUAGCUAGACAAUAAUGCUUGGGUACAGCGUCAUUCGGGGCACGUGAUCAGAAUGAAAGAGCAUUUGCUGAACGCCGUGUGGACGAUCUUCCAUGGUUCGACAUCUGUCCCGUCUUCGCAGAGACGAGAACCUUCCGGCGAGCCGCACCUGCUACACGACGUCCAAGCACAAAGUUUCGCAACGGACAUCAGAAAGCGGGUGUGAACCUCCGAAAGCGACCUGGCUGCGAAGCAGGAGUUCGGUUCUCGAGCCGUUUUCCAUGUGAGUCCUGGAGCCACCAGACGUCCUCGUAUUGCCAGGUGAAGCAGGUGUGCGUGGAGUUGGAUCCUCGAGCCAGUGUCCCGUGUUAGUCCCGGCGCCGCCAGACCAUCGAGCUCUCCAACCCCAACCCAACCCGAGAGGCGGCCCUGCUCGGCUGCCUGAGCCUUCCGGCCCAACAGGCCAUGGUCCGGCGUGUCAGGAGGGCGGCCACGACCAAUGGGGUCCCUGAAUAGGGACUCCACCUAGUAUUGUAGGGAGCUGGCCCACUAAGGGCUGGUUUUCCGAACAACCUCUCUGUAAAUAAUACUUUAAUAAAUGUUUU